UACGUAGGUGACAAGCGUUGUCCGGAUUUACUGGGCGUAAAGAGCGCGCAGGCGGUCGAUCAAGUCGAGUGUGAAAGCCCCCGGCUCAACUGGGGAGGGUCAUUCGAUACUGAUCGACUCGAAGGCAGGAGAGGGUAGUGGAAUUCCUGGUGUAGCGGUGAAAUGCGCAGAUAUCAGGAAGAACACCGGUGGCGAAGGCGGCUCUCUGGGCCUUACCUGACGCUGAGGAGCGAAAGCGUGGGUAGCGAACAGG
rnacentral:rRNA from 1 species